CAAACAUUUGCCUCUGCCUCCAGGGUGCUGAAAUUAAAGGUAGGUAAGGAUGGAGGAUGCUGGCCUUGGAGUUCUUUGGAGGUAAGAGAUGAGCUCAAGGUGACAAAGUUAGUAGGCCACAGCUAGACACAACCCCAGCACCGUGAAGUUUCAUCAGAAAAGCUUCCUGCUCCUCUUCAAGAAGAUGGUCGUUCAGAUGCUCUGGGCUUCACCAACAGCCUUCCUCAGGACCCAUGUCUGCACUGUCUCGCCACAUAGGGAAGUACUGGACUUUCAAAUGGCCUCAUGAACUUUUUAUAACGAAACAGAACAUACACAAAAGUAGAAAGAAAUGUGCAGUGUUGCCUCCCUCCCUGGGUAUUAUAAGUCCAACAUACAUCAAUGUAUGGCCUCUCUUGUCUGUGCUCCACCAUUUCUUCACACUGUUAAUGCAAGUCCCAGAGGUCACGUCAGUUCGGCUUUAAGCAUAGUUAUGUGUGCAUGACAAUCCAGCCAUCACCAAACAGCACCUGGUCUUAUAAGAUCAAAAUGGAGCUGAGAGAACCCUGAUACCUAUAAUGUCAUAGCCACCCUAAAAGUCUUAGCACAUUAUAUCACUCUUGUAUUUGUGGUGACACUGAUGUAAAUAUACCUACCGGUCAAGUGCAGGAAGGCCCUGGGUUUGGUCACCUGCAACUGGAGGGAGAAAGGGAGGAAGGGAGGGAGGGAUAGAUAGAUACUAUCUUGGAGAGAGGAGACUGUAAAGGAAGAUUUCAAGUUCACAACCCGUCUGGGCUUCUUUGAGAAUAAUGUCAAAAAAAAAAAAAAAAAAAAAAAGAGCCAGGUGUGCUGACAUACACCUUUAAUCCCAACACUCAGGAGGUAGAGGCAAGUAGAUAUCUGUGAAUUCAAGGCCAUCCUGGUCUACAAAGUGAGUCCAGGACACCCAGGGCUCUGUUACACAGAGAAAAACUGUCUCAAAAACAAAACAAAAAACAGAACAAAACAAGCAAGCAAACAAACAGAAAGAACAGUACAUGUGGUUGUGCACAGGACAUAAAUACUUGACUAUGGUAAUAAACCAUUAUGUUGCUGGUC